CAGCUCCUGUCACCCUUCCCCUUCACUGAAAGCUUCUCAUUGGCUUUCUGCUGCCUGGAGUGUAAAUUCUGAAUGCCUUAGCUCAUCAUAGGAGGCCUUGUAGAGUCUGCUUCAUGCCUGCUGCCCUAGUCUUAUUGCUUAUCAGCCUGCCCCCCGGCCCCCAUACAGCCUAAGCUCCAGCCACAGUGAUGUCCUCACCAUUGCCUCAUGCUCUGGUCUUCCGGGAUUCCAGCCUCAACAUGCACGUCUUCAUCACAUUUGUCCAGCUGAAGUACAGCAGUGCUGUUUGGGUGAUUGUUGCUCUGUGAUGCCAAGCUGUUUUAGAAAAAUGUCAUGAUGCCUGGUCACACCUACUACCGCAGAGACAAGCCCAGAAGUUAAAUUAGGAAGCAAACGUAAGCUUUGAAGAACUUUUUAUUUAAUCUGUAUUCCCCUGUUUCAUCUGCACAUCCAUCCAGCACAAUCUGCAUCAUUAUUAGCCACAUCAACUCGCUAAAAAAAGGGGGGGGGGUAAAAAGUAAGACAUCUGUGUUAUAGCAUUAAUAUAUUCAAAGGUUUUUACUUUCAUCUUGCAGGCAUUAACAGGGUGUAAAUGCAAUAUAAGCGCAAUUUACAACAGCACUAAGUUAGCAGAAGAAAAAACGUACUUGGGAGUCACGCAAAAGAAGGGAGCCUGCAAAAAGAAAAAAAAAAAAAGCAAAGUUGAUAAUUCCACUGCCGUCCUUUGCGGGGGUGAUCCUGAGGAUCAAAGGCGAUGCUGUUUGUGA
rnacentral:lncRNA from 1 species